rnacentral:lncRNA from 1 species
UCUCUCUCUCUCUCUCAUUUUGAAUGGAUGAUUUCCCCCAAAAUGAGAGCUGUUGGUUAAUAAGAUUUUGUUGCUUCUUUUUAUGCGAAUACUCUCUCUCUCUCUCUCAACUCCAAACUAGGAUUCUCAACCAGAUCCAACCACCUACUCCUCCUUACCCUUCAUUGUGCUCUUCUCUUUGAAAGUUUCUUCGUUCUCGCUCUCUACUUCUUGGUUUUAGAAACUAUGUUGAGUUGGGUUGGUUACAUAAGAAACUAUGGAAUCUAUUGAUGGAGGCAUCAGUUGUUGAGAUAAUAAUUCAACAGGUAGCGGCUACUUUUGUUUUAUUGCAUGUGAUCUAAAUUAGCUGCUAAAAUCUCAUUCAUGGGGUGGAUUUCUUUUUCUUCAAAAUUUUCAUGUCCUCUUAAAAUGCCUCUUUAAUUGGGAAGCUGCCAUUUCAUUGUUCCUUGGACCUUUUUUGAUGAUUCUUGCUUGGGUUGAUUACCUGAGAAAUUUUUUGAAUUUAAGGAUUGAGGCAUCGAUUGUGGAGGGAAUAAUUCAAGAAAUGAUUCUCUCAAAAAAAAAAAUUUUCAAGAAAUGCAUCUAUAUUUGUCAUGGAUUCUGCAAUUCAAGAAUUCAUUCUGCAAUUCAAGAAUUCAGUUGGUUCUAAAAAUUUUGUUUGCUUUUAAAAAUAGGGUUGGCUUGGAGCUCUCUCUGCAUAUGACUCUUCAUGUACUCUCCGGAUGCUUGUUUAAUGGAAAGUUGACAUUUCUUGUGUUCCUCUGCUUCCUUGGAACGUUUGGAAGAUAAUGCUUGGGGCUUUAUCAAAGCAAUGCCUGGGAAUCAUUCUGGAAACUCCUAGCCAUUACUUUUCCAUUAGGACUUACCCAAUCAUCAGUAUGAACUGUGCAGAUAGUUUAAACUGGCUGCUAUGACAAAAUUCCAGGCAUCUUAAUGAAGAUUAAAAAUAUUGUCUUGGUUAUUUUACCUCUGAGAUCUGCUUUUUGUGGAAGUUAUGCACUGAAAUAUUGGAUCUCGUAUUAGAAACUCUACUAGAGCGGAAACUUGCAUCAUUCAGAUCCUUCAAUGACAGCGGAGGUGAUGAUUGAUGAACUAAUCUGGCUGAAGGGUGCCUGUUGUUACAACUAAUUUUCACAUUUGUAAGAAGCUACCUACUUCCUGAGAUAUAUUACGCUUGGAUGACCCCUAGAUCCACUCCUCAUCUGUUUCAAACCUUUAUCCAUUCACCUUGGUUGAAGGGGGGGAAGCUACUGUGGAAAGCAUCCAUCUCUGCCACCCUUUGGUUCCUUUGGACUGAAAGGAACCAGAGAAUCUUCAGGGGAAGGAGGUCCUCAGCAAGGCCUUUGGCAGAUAAGGUCAGGAACCUUGUGGCCUUCUAGGCCACCAUUAAUCCUUUGUUCAAGGAUGUACCCUCCUCUUCUCUUGGGUCACCUCACCUUUUGUAAUUU